GCAUUACUCACAUCGCAAAAGCAAACACGGGCUGCAAAACAAUUUUUCGUUUGUACCGAUUGCCACAGUUUCCACUCACAGCGACAGCGAACAGCUGUCUGUACUCGUGCGGUGCCGCCACCUCCGAAAUGAAGGUCCUUUUUGUGUGCAUUGGAAACUCGUGCCGUUCGCCGAUGGCAGAAGCCGUUCUGAAGGAUAUGGUAGCCAGAGAAGGUCUCGACUGGGUUGUCGAUAGUGCGGCGAUUGCAGAUUGGAAUGUUGGUUAUUCCCCGGAGGAUCGCUGCUUAGCGGUGUUACGAGAGAAUGGAUUGGAUUCGUGUCACGUUGGGAGACAGAUUCGAACGGAGGAUUUCGACCAGUUUGAUUACAUAUUCGGAAUGGAUGAGGGUAAUGUGCGUGAUUUGAAAGAGCUGGCGCCUGCUCAAAGCCGAGCUCGCAUCGAGUUGCUGGGGAAUUACAGAAUGAAGGAGCUGGAUAAGAUUAUUUUCGAUCCGUAUUUCGAACGUGGAGUGCACGGUUUUAGAAGGUGCUACACUCAGAUUGCGAUAUGCUGUAAAAUUUUCAUUCAGCAGAAGCGGCCGAGUGCUUAAACGACAUACAGUUGGGAACUGUGAGUCUUCCGGAAGAUAAAUCGUCCACAAAAAGAUCCCAUCUAGUUUGCAGUAUUUCCGAAAAUCGUUGCCGUUCUUUUGCUGUUAGAGAACUAUACCUACGAAAAAAAAUCCGAUUCCCGCUGAAGUAGGAGCCAUCGCCAUGAAGGCAUAAUAAUAAUCAAAUGAAACAGCUUUGCUGUCCCAAAACCCGGGAUCGUCGGAUGCAAUGACGAUGGGAAUGCUUUCCGACACGAAGAACACUGCAGGAUGGUUGCGUAGAUCGGUCACCAAUCGUAGUACUUGAUUCGAAAGUGGGCACACUUCCAAAGCGAUUCCUUUACUUUUAACUGCCUUCCAUAGGACUGGAUGUUUAUACAACGAAUAACCAUGUCCGAUGCGACGGCUGUUGAGCAGAACCGCGUCGAUCAAGUUAAGAUCAGCAUUGCUUCCGUAUCCAUCUGGAAUUGUAACAACGUGUGUAGUAAAUUGUGUUCAAAAUAAACUACCAAAAAUAACGGAACUGGUUUCUCCAGCAUGGAAGAAAUACGGAGUGGUGGCUUCAAACUUGCGCAAUUCAUCCAGAAAAAUGGUCAAGGGCUGAUUAAUGUCUUCCUGUCCCACCAGAUCGAAACCAAUAACCAGGUUUGGCAACUCCGCGCUGUGAAGUAUCGGUCAGCAAAUUAAAUCAUCGAACACUUGACAUUACCUAGCUUACUUACUUCAAUUUAACAAACGAAUUCAGUAGAUCCUGUGCUGUGCCUGUGUCUAUUCCUCGAUGCUUCGAAAAUAUUACCUUCACACCAAUAAAAUCCGGAUUGGCCGAGCAAAACGUAUCCACCAGCUGCUGUACAAUUUUAGCAACCUCCAUCUCACCGUAGACCCGAUUGCUGGCGUCAUAAAUUUUCGACAGCGACAUUCGCAGCUCGAUAUAGAACACAUUAUCCUCGUAGAACUCUUCCAGCAGCCGCGUAUGGAACGCUUCGAAAAUCGGUUUGUAC